GGACUACAGGGGUUUCUAAUCCUGUUUGCUCCCCACGCUUUCGUGCCUGAGCGUCAGUGUUAUCCCAGGAGGCUGCCUUCGCCAUCGGUAUUCCUCCACAUAUCUACGCAUUUCACUGCUACACGUGGAAUUCUACCUCCCUCUGACACACUCUAGCUAUGCAGUCACACAGGCCAUUCCCAGGUUAAGCCCGGGGAUUUCACCUAUAUCUUACAUAACCGCCUGCGCACCCUUUACGCCCAGUUAUUCCGAUUAACGCUCGCACCCUACGUAUUACCGCGGCUGCUGGCAC
rnacentral:rRNA from 1 species